UGCUACGAGUUUGAUGAGUGUGGGGAAGU
rnacentral:piRNA from 1 species